GGGCUGGGGCUUAGCGGUAGAGCACUCACCUCUCACGUGCGAGACCCUGGGUUCAAUCCUCAGCACCACA
rnacentral:tRNA from 1 species